rfam:Ascaris lumbricoides genome assembly, scaffold: ALTE_contig0007431
GUCGAGGCUUUUUUCAAAGCCAAUAAUCAAAUUCUUUAAGAUAAUG